UACGUAGGGGGCAAGCGUUGUCCGGAAUCAUUGGGCGUAAAGAGCGUGUAGGCGGCUCGAUAAGUCUGCUGUGAAAGUCCAGGGCUCAACCCUGGAAGGCCGGUGGAAACUGUCGGGCUAGAGUCCGGAAGAGGCGGGUGGAAUUCCCGGUGUAGCGGUGAAAUGCGCAGAUAUCGGGAGGAACACCAAUGGCGAAGGCAGCUCGCUGGGACGGUACUGACGCUGAGACGCGAAAGCGUGCGGAGCAAACAGG
rnacentral:rRNA from 1 species